rnacentral:piRNA from 1 species
UGAGCUGCUGUGGUCUGAUGCUGAGUGUC